GAUGAACGCUGGCGGCGUGCCUAAUACAUGCAAGUAGAACGCUGAAGGAGGAGCUUGCUCUUCUGGAUGAGUUGCGAACGGGUGAGUAACGCGUAGGUAACCUGCCUGGUAGCGGGGGAUAACUAUUGGAAACGAUAGCUAAUACCGCAUGACAACAGUUAUUGCAUGAUAACUGUUUAAAAGGGGCAACUGCUCCACUACCAGAUGGACCUGCGUUGUAUUAGCUAGUUGGUGAGGUAACGGCUCACCAAGGCGACGAUACAUAGCCGACCUGAGAGGGUGAUCGGCCACACUGGGACUGAGACACGGCCCAGACUCCUACGGGAGGCAGCAGUAGGGAAUCUUCGGCAAUGGACGGAAGUCUGACCGAGCAACGCCGCGUGAGUGAAGAAGGGUGUCGGAUCGUAAAGCUCUGUUGUAAGAGAAGAACGAGUGUGAGAGUGGAAAGUUCACACUGUGACGGUAUCUUACCAGAAAGGGACGGCUAACUACGUA
rnacentral:rRNA from 1 species